rnacentral:misc_RNA from 1 species
GAUGAAGAACGCAGCGAAAUGCGAUACGUAAUGUGAAUUGCAGAAUUCAGUGAAUCAUCGAAUCUUUGAACGCAUAUUGCGCUCUCUGGUAUUCCGGAGAGCAUGCUUGUUUGAGUAUCAGUAAACACCUCAACUUCCAUAUCUUUUUUGAAAUGGGAGUUGGACUUGAGUGAUCCCAACGCUUUUCCUCACCGCAAAGUGGCGGGUUACUUGAAAUGCAGGUGCAGCUGGACUUUUCUCUGAGCUAUAAGCAUAUCUAUUUAGUCUGCCUAAAAAACAGAUUAUUACCUUUGCUGCAGCUAACAUAAAGGAGAUUAGUUCUUGUGCUGACUGAUGCAGGAUUCACAAAGACGGCUUCGGCCGACUUUGUAAACUCGAUCUCAAAUCAAGUAAGACUACCCGCUGAACUUAAGCAUAUCAAUAAGCGGAGGA